AACUUUCGGCAACGGAUCUCUUGGCUCUCGCAUCGAUGAAGAACGCAGCGAAAUGCGAUAAGUAAUGUGAAUUGCAGAAUUUAGUGAGUCAUCGAAUCUUUGAACGCACAUUGCGCCCUUUGGCAUUCCGAAGGGCAUGCCUGUUCGAGCGUCAUUAUCAACCUUCAAGCCCGGCUUGCAGUUGAGCCCCGCCCGUGACACGGCCGGCUCCAAAGACAGCGGCGGCGUCGGACCGACCCCGGAUGCAACGAGCUUCACAAGCACGCAUCGCGCGGCCGGCCGGCGCCCGCCUCGAACCCCCACUUCUAUGGUUGACCUCGGAUCAGGCAGGGAUACCCGCUGAACUUAAGCAUAUCAAUAAGCGGAGGCU
rnacentral:misc_RNA from 1 species